GCCCUCAUCGUCUAGUGGUUAGGACAUCUCUCUUUCAAGGAGGCAGCGGGGAUUCGAUUUCCCCUGGGGGUAAGAUAAAAAGUUGAUAUUAAUUUCUCAAUAAACCUAAGAUUCAUUCUCCCAGGUUUACUAAGAAACCUGGGAUUAAUUCUUCCUUAAACCUAUAAUUAAUCCUUCCACCCAGGGUCGAUGCCCGAGCGGUUAAUGGGGACGGACUGUAAAUUCGUUGACGAUAUGUCUACGCUGGUUCAAAUCCAGCUCGGCCCA
rnacentral:tRNA from 1 species